rnacentral:rRNA from 1 species
UACGUAGGGUGCGAGCGUUAAUCGGAAUUACUGGGCGUAAAGCGUGCGCAGGCGGUGAUGUAAGACAGAUGUGAAAUCCCCGGGCUCAACCUGGGAACUGCAUUUGUGACUGCAUCGCUGGAGUGCGGCAGAGGGGGAUGGAAUUCCGCGUGUAGCAGUGAAAUGCGUAGAUAUGCGGAGGAACACCGAUGGCGUAGGCAAUCCCCUGGGCCUGCACUGACGCUCAUGCACGAAAGCGUGGGGAGCAAACAGG